rnacentral:tRNA from 1 species
GGGCGCGUAGCUCAGCGGUGGAGCGUUCGGUUCACAUCCGAAAGGUCGCAGGUUCGAACCCUGCCGCGCCCACCA